AGCAGCGUGGCUCAGUGGAAAGAGCACGGGCUUUGGCGUCAGAGGUCACGGGUUCGAAUCCCACCUCUGCCA
rnacentral:tRNA from 1 species